CCUACGGGUGGCAGCAGUGAGGAAUAUUGGUCAAUGGACGAGAGUCUGAACCAGCCAAGUAGCGUGAAGGAUGACUGCCCUAUGGGUUGUAAACUUCUUUUAUAUGGGAAUAAAAUGUUCCACGUGUGGGAUUUUGUAUGUACCAUAUGAAUAAGGAUCGGCUAACUCCGUGCCAGCAGCCGCGGUAAUACGGAGGAUCCGAGCGUUAUCCGGAUUUAUUGGGUUUAAAGGGAGCGUAGGUGGAUUGUUAAGUCAGUUGUGAAAGUUUGCGGCUCAACCGUAAAAUUGCAGUUGAAACUGGCAGUCUUGAGUACAGUAGAGGUGGGCGGAAUUCGUGGUGUAGCGGUGAAAUGCUUAGAUAUCACGAAGAACUCCGAUUGCGAAGGCAGUUCACUGGACUGCAACUGACACUGAGGCUCGAAAGUGUGGGUAUCAAACAGGAGUAGAUACCCUAGUAGUC
rnacentral:rRNA from 1 species